rnacentral:rRNA from 1 species
AUGAGAAGUAUCAAAAGUGCCGGGGUUUGGGUUUAUGUCAUGCUAGACUCACGUUUCUCGUUCUUACGCCGGGUCCGCGACCUUACAAGGAUACACAAGCUGGUGAAGGUUUCGGAGAAGCAGCAAGCUGUUCGGAUUCAAGUUAGCUUUGAGCAGGCCUCGGGCGAGGAAAUGCUUUGGCUGUGCCAGGAGAUAGUCGGCUCAGGGGCUUUUGGGCGGAGCCAAAGUGGUCCACAUACGUACCAUUUCCAUCAUCACAAGAUCCCCUUUUUCUGUGUGCAUAGAGAUAAAGCGUGCUCUUAUAUUUAG